GGGCCGGUAGCUCAGCCUGGUAGAGCACCUGACUUUUAAUCAGGUGGUCGCGAGUUCGAAAGUAUAUCGAAAGUCUCGUCCGGCCCG
rnacentral:tRNA from 1 species